rnacentral:antisense_RNA from 1 species
UUUUAUGACUUAAAAAACCCCACAGGCUGGUCUGAAGAGGAAGACAAACAUAAAGAUGAAGUGCUUAAUUCAAGGUCACACAAUGUCGGGGAUGGACCUCCAGAUUUCCUUACUGACCUGCAUUAUCUUGUGGAUACCUGAGUGAAUUCCACACCACCCAUUUUAUAGAUGAAACCACUGAGACAUGGAGCAACUGACUGAGUAGUCACUGCCCCACCCCUGCCUGGAGCCUCACACAUGACUCGUCUCCUCUCAGUGACCACAGGAAAACAAGCUCAGGGCUCCCACUGAUUGUACAUUAUGAGACGGAGUCUUGCUAUGUUGCCCAGGCUGGUCUUGAACUCCUCACCUCAAGCGAUCCUCUCGUCUUGGCCUCCCAAGUGUCAGGAUUACAGGCAUGUGCUAUCACACCCAACCUGAUACAUUGCCUUUAUAAAUUUUUUUUUCUUUAUUCUAAAAACCAGAAAAAACAAAACUGGAUACAUGUGCAGAACAUGCAGACCAAGUGUGUUGGGGACUUGAGAUGCGUACAUGAGUGUUUGUGAUGUUUCCUGCCGAAAGCACAGGUGAGACGUGGUCUUGUAACACAGUGGUUAAGAAUGUGACUUUGGAGCCAGCCUGCUAGGGGCUGAAUUCUGACUCAGCCAUUUACUAACUGUGUGACCUUAGGCUGGAGUGCAAUGGCAUGAUCUCGGCUCACCACAAUCUCUGCUUCCUGGGUUCAAGCGAUUCUCCUGCCUCAGCCUCCCAAGUACCUGGGACUACAGGCACUCGCCACCAUG